UGCAUUGACUUCUAAAGCAAU
ensembl:piRNA 21ur-4094 ncRNA